GACGGAGGAUGCAAGUGUUAUCCGGAAUCACUGGGCGUAAAGCGUCUGUAGGUGGUCUAAUAAGUCAACUGUUAAAUCUUGAGGCUCAACCUCAAAAUCGCAGUCGAAACUAUUAGGCUAGAGUAUAGUAGGGGUAAAGGGAAUUUCCAGUGGAGCGGUGAAAUGCGUAGAGAUUGGAAAGAACACCGAUGGCGAAGGCACUUUACUGGGCUAUUACUAACACUCAGAGACGAAAGCUAGGGUAGCAAAUGGG
rnacentral:rRNA from 1 species